AUUGAACGCUGGCGGCAGGCCUAACACAUGCAAGUCGAGCGGAUGAAGGGAGCUUGCUCCUGGAUUCAGCGGCGGACGGGUGAGUAAUGCCUAGGAAUCUGCCUGGUAGUGGGGGAUAACGUCCGGAAACGGGCGCUAAUACCGCAUACGUCCUGAGGGAGAAAGUGGGGGAUCUUCGGACCUCACACUAUCAGAUGAGCCUAGGUCGGAUUAGCUAGUUGGUGGGGUAAAGGCCUACCAAGGCGACGAUCCGUAACUGGUCUGAGAGGAUGAUCAGUCACACUGGAACUGAGACACGGUCCAGACUCCUACGGGAGGCAGCAGUGGGGAAUAUUGGACAAUGGGCGAAAGCCUGAUCCAGCCAUGCCGCGUGUGUGAAGUAGGUCUUCGGAUUGUAAAGCACUUUAAGUUGGGAGGAAGGGCAGUAAGUUAAUACCUUGCUGUUUUGACGUUACCAACAGAAUAAGCACCGGCUAACUUCGU
rnacentral:rRNA from 1 species